rnacentral:rRNA from 1 species
GAUGAACGCUGGCGGCGUGCCUAAUACAUGCAAGUCGAGCGAACAGACGAGGAGCUUGCUCCUCUGACGUUAGCGGCGGACGGGUGAGUAACACGUGGAUAACCUACCUAUAAGACUGGGAUAACUUCGGGAAACCGGAGCUAAUACCGGAUAAUAUAUUGAACCGCAUGGUUCAAUAGUGAAAGACGGUUUUGCUGUCACUUAUAGAUGGAUCCGCGGCGCAUUAGCUAGUUGGUAAGGUAACGGCUUACCAAGGCGACGAUGCGUAGCCGACCUGAGAGGGUGAUCGGCCACACUGGAACUGAGACACGGUCCAGACUCCUACGGGAGGCAGCAGUAGGGAAUCUUCCGCAAAGGGCGAAAGCCUGACGGAGCAACGCCGCGUGAGUGAUGAAGGUCUUCGGAUCGUAAAACUCUGUUAUUAGGGAAGAACAAAUGUGUAAGUAACUAUGCACGUCUUGACGGUACCUAAUCAGAAAGCCACGGCUAACUACGUG